AAAGGUGAUUAAGUAUUUGAAUUUCUCAGGUAAGCCUGUGUAGUAUGUCUGCUAACAGAUUUUGAUGUAUUAUCAGCUAACAAGACUGGGUACACAGCGACAUGAUCGCGGCCGUUGUACACCUCUACCACUCAGUACCGGGGUAGUGACUGUCCUGUAACCAGAAUGGCGAAGAACGGGACCGCGGCCUUCAGCUCCCAGGGGGUGGGGACCGUGGACGUAGUGGUUAUAGUGAUCUACCUGGCCUUCUGUCUGGCCACAGGAAUCUGGGCAACAUGGAGGACGAACAGAGGCAGCAUCAGUGGCUAUUUUCUGGCGGGAAGAGAAAUGCUCUGGUUUACCAUCGGAGCCUCGCUGUUCUCGAGCAACAUUGGGAGCGGGAGCUUCGUGGGUUUGGCGGGGACAGGAGCGGCCUCGGGGAUCGCCGUGGCCAGCUACGAGCUCAACGGUCUGUUCUGUCUGCUGAUGCUUGGAUGGCUCUUUGUUCCUGUCUACAUCGCUAGCGGGGUGUACACCCUACCUGAGUACCUGAAGAAGAGGUUCGGGGGUCAGCGGCUUCAGGUGUACAUGUCCGUACUGGCUCUGCUGAUCUACAUAUUCACCAAAAUAUCAGUAAGGGAAUAAAACAAUAGAGAAAGUUAAGGUUUGUUUACUGUUCAACUAACGGUACGAAUAAUUGGCAUUACCAUUGCUACCGAAGAUUUCGAUACGGAUAGAAUUUGACAUGUAGAAGAUCUGUGAUUGACACUGAUAAGGUUAAGUUAAACACACAAGAAACUCAAAACAUGCAAAUUACAUACUGAACGUUUUUCCAAAUAUACAUUAAACCUUGAAUUAUUUACUUAUUCAUUAAAAUGUGACCUGGUGUGUUUGUUGAGGUGGUCUUUAUACUGUAAUUGGAUGUACCAUGUAUGUUGACAGGUGGACAUGUACGCUGGAACCAUCUUCAUUCAACAGGCGAUCGGCCUUGAUAUUUAUGUGGGCGUGGUCAUUUUGCUGGCGAUCUCAGCCGUCUACACUGUAUCAGGUACCACGACCCCCUCACAAGACAUCCAUAUCCAAGAUUCCGGUCUGGAAUCUGUUCGAAUAUAAUCUUAGCAUUACUGGGGUUUUUUCAUGCGGAUCCUUUGCUUCUACAUCUUGACUUCUGUCGUCUGAUUUGUUACAACGUCGAAGAUUUAGUUGUCUUUCUUCCGAAAUUGAUGAACCAUUGAAUGCAGACAUGUACAUACUAUAUAUGGUUCUCUUCCCUUGUUGGCUAUACUUACAUUUUACAUUGGGUAUUUUUGACAGGUGGACUUAAGGCCGUCAUCUACACAGACACCCUACAAACAGUCAUCAUGGUCGCCGGUGCUAUUGUUCUCAUGAUAUUAAGCUUUAACAAAGUUGGGGGGAUAGAGAAGGUGUACACCCUGUACCCCCAGUCGGUGCCCACGCACCUGCUGAACGGCUCGGACUGCGGCCUCCCUCCCGCCGAUGCCUUCCAUCUCCUGCGUGACCCGGUCACUGGCUCCAUCCCGUGGCCCGGAAACGUGGUGGGCAUCACCAUCCUCAGCUGCUGGUAUUUCUGCUCCGACCAGGUGCUGGUCCAGCGGUCGUUGGCCGCCAAGAACAUGCAUCACGUGAAGGGAGGGUCCAUUCUGGCGGCCUACCUGAAGAUCCUACCGCUGUUCACCACGGUGUUUCCAGGGAUGAUCAGCAGGAUUCUAUUCACAGAUCAGGUGGGCUGUGUUGACCCGGAAGUAUGUAAAGCUGUCUGCGACAACGAGGCUGGAUGUACAAACAUCGCAUACCCCAAACUAGUCGUUGAGCUUAUGCCCGAAGGUUUAAAGGGUCUGAUGUUAGCGGCCAUGAUGGCGGCGCUGAUGAGUUCUCUGACGUCAGUGUUCAACAGCGCGAGCACGCUCUUCACCAUGGAUAUCUGGAAGCGCGUGCGCCCUGGAUCCACCGAGGGAGAACUUUUGGUUGUGGGCAGAGUGUUCAUCCUGAUCCUAGUAGUGAUCAGCGUCAUCUGGAUGCCCGUACUGCAGGCCUCCCAGGGGGGACAACUCUUCAACUACAUCCAGGCAGUCACCGGGUACCUGGUCCCUCCCAUUCUGUCCUUGUUUCUGUUAGCAAUAUUCUGGAAGAGGACCAAUGAAAAGGGCGCUUUCUGGGGACUAAUCAUCGGGAUGCUGGUUGGAGCUACUAGGAUGGGGUUGGACUUUGGGUACGGAAGUCCAAAGUGUGGUGAGGAGGAGUUCAGACCCGCCAUCAUCGCUAAAGUCCACUUCCUCCACUUCACCAUCAUCCUCUUCGUCCUCAGCCUCAUCGCCAUGGUCGUCAUCUCUCUCCUCACCGACCCAAUCCCAGAAAAACAUGUGAGUGUUUACAUGCGAAGUUUGAUAUCAUCCUGUUCUUCAAAACAAACCAUCUGAAUUUAACGAACUAUUUAACUAUUUUGAAUAGAACAUAAUAUAAAAUACAAUUCAGAAACCUCAUUCCGUCCUUUUUAAGAGUUGUGGUUCUGAAACCUUUACACAUACUUGAGGCCCAAAUUAAUUUUACAGCUUAUACGUAUGACUUGGUGGUCGAGACAUAGUAUGGAAGAGAGAGAACCGUUUAAAGAGGAACUUGAAUUUAAUAACUUAUCAACGUCCAUUCAAAACAAGAGAAUGGAAGAGAGGAAAGAAGUCAAAAUGACGAAGUGGCGCCGUGCUCUGUAUAUUGUGUGUGGAUACGAACCACCGAGACCCGUGACGGCAACGGAGGCGGAAAUAGCCGAACAAAAACGACUUUUAACGAGUAUUACCGAAAAGGGCAAAUGGAAGUGGUUCGUGAAUGCUAAUGCUUUGAUUUUGAUGACAUUCGGAAUAUUUCUGUGGGGAUUCUUCAGCUAGUGUUCCGGAAUAGCGUGUAGAUAUGAUGAAAUUUAGUAGAUGGAUCAGUAGUUUACUAUAUUGUAAAUAUCUGUAACUCUUAUUGCUUCCUGUAUAUAUUUGUAUUGUACAGAUCAAUUUAUAUUUAUAUCGUCC
rnacentral:misc_RNA from 1 species